CAAUGUGUGAAAGCACCAUCAUGUAGCCCCUGAUCUGGAUCUCGUCCACCAGGCUCUGCCCUUGGAAACUAAGAAAGAGAAGGGCGUGCUUUGUGAAUGAGUUUGCCCUGUAGCAGAAAGAACCAAAGAAAAACCUGGCCUUCUUCCCUGAGCACUUCCACAAAGACACACAACAUGCAGUGAAGGGGGCCGACAGGGGAAAUCUUUCCAAGUUAGGCUCCAGGGAAAGGUCUGCUUUGCCUUCCUUGGAAACUCACAAAGAUACCAGUGUGGAGAUUAAGGAUUGCCAAAUUUCCCUUCAACGGGGAACAGGCCAAGUGGCUCAGACAUCCCUCGUCACUCGUGGGUCAUCGGAAAAAAAAAAAAAAAAAACUGUGCUGGGGAGUUGAUGGAAAAAAAACUUGGGUAGUUUCUCAUUUCAGGAGAGCUCUAGCAUUCAGAUAGGUUUCAACUUUCCUCUAAAAUUCUGAACAGAAAGAAUCUUACUUAAGAAUUUUCCAUCGUGAAAAAAGACAAAACUUAACUCAAAUCACCAGUGAAAUCUCAAAUGCCAAAAACAACAACCUGCGGUUCUUUCGGUCUUAGGUGAAGUGUUUCUGACAUGAAUUUUCACUUGGCAUUUUCCUUCUUUCUUUAUGAUUGAAAAAAGCAUAUGUUUUCCUUUUUGAUAAAAUGUGCGUCUUCGGACAAAAAUAUCUGCGACCUGCUGGAUGGUGGUGCUUGAUAAUUGAUUAAUGACAGAUAGCAAUGAUACCUUUGAUUUAACUUGGUAAUUAAAGUUCUGCGCACUUUGAACAUCCGAUGCAGUUGAAUCUGCUUAUAAGAUUAAGCAGAUAGAAGAGGGGUUAAGAUAGAAGAGGAGGCUCAGGAAUAGAUAAAAGCAAAUUCCUUGUCUCUCCACAAUGCAGUUGGGUAGGGACAAACAUUGAAUUAUGGGAAUUGAAGGAGCUGAUGCACUUGGCUGUGAAAUUAAAUAACUGCAGAUGUGAAUGUUCUGUCACUUGUGCUGUCCCUUUAAUUGAGACUAUCUACGUCUAGAGCCUUCUCACUAGUGCAGAGGCAUCCAGAAAGAAAUGUUCAGAGUUAGCUGUACGAAUGCUGUAUCACUGGUUGUAAAACAAAAAUAUUAUACAUGACUUUUUAAUAUCUCCUAAGAGGGACAUAAUAAGGAAAAUAUAUUUGCUUUCCAAGAAAACAGAUCAAAUAAGGUAAAUGAUUCACUAUGUAAGAAAAAAAUUUCAUUAAUAUUCUUCAUAAAAUUGUUUCAUAAAAAGCUUACAUAUGAAAAUAAUUUUUCACUUAAGUAGAUUUACUCUUUGAUGUUAAUAGACUUAGCUGCUCAAAUUAAUUUUAAAAACAAAAUUUUUAAUUGCGAAAAACAGCAUAACACAUUGGCUUUGUUAUAAUCUAGGAAAUUAUUUUUUAAUAUUUCUUUGUACUAUUGAGCAAUUGAAAAUCUGUGAAGUAAUGCAUUCUUCCAUGGGAAGCAAUCACUAAGGUGGUUCUGAAACCUUAAUUUUUAUAUUAAACAAAAGCAUUAGGCUUUAGAGUUUACUGAGGCAACAAAAUGAAAUACACAACUGCCUUGAAAUAUUAUGCACAAGUAAUAAAACAUUUAUACCUGUUUUAUAUAAAAAUGUAGAUUUUAAUCCAUUACAGUUGAGGUGCAAAUAGUCCAAAUUAAUGCAGGUGAAUAAAUACUUCUGCUGAGUGCUCUCGGUGAAUUGCAGUCAAAAUUAAGACAUACAAUUUAACAAGAUAAAGUCACCUUUAACUUAUUCUUUGUUAAUGUCAAACAAGGGGAAUUAAAUGUCUUUAUUAAGAUUAGGCUUUAUGAAUUAAAACAUUCCAUGUGCAGUGUAUGUCAGUCCUUACCAGUUUCCUUGGUGUUAACACACGUUAUGAAAUUUACCUGUAAGAGUUCCAUUAAAUAAUCCUAGAAUUUCACAGCAUUGUCUCCAUGUAUGGAAAAACUUCUCGCUAACUCCCCAAAUUGCAAACAUAUCUAAAAUGAAGAUGGCAUCAAAUGGCUCAUGAUUAGGUUGUUGUUUUCGAUCUGACAUUUUAAAAUGGACUUUGAUCACCUGCAGACAUCCUUUUCUAAAUUAAGAUUGCAGGAGAGUACAAACUAUUUGACUUACUAAAUGGAAUUCAAUAUAAUGAAACUGAAGAACUUAAGGUGAUAAAGCAAUGAUGUUAGGUUUGAGUAAAAAUAAUUCAGUGAAAAUAAAAAGAGUAGAACAUCAACCACAUCAGCACUUUCCAAGGCACAGUGUAAGUAAGUCAGGUUGGUGUAAAGAUACAUUAUAACCCAUUCUAAGAUGUCUCUUUGGCAGCUGGACACUGUCACAAGCUGAUGUUAAGUUGUUUUAUCUGUGAAGUUUCCAAAAUGGUUUAUAUAAAACCUAUAAAAAUAUAACCCUAUUUUCUUUCGGGUUUUUCUAUGAUAAAAAAAAUAUACUUUUAACUUUUUCUAGAAAAUGGGGAUAAUUCGUUGCAAUGUAGACCCAGUCUUCACCACGAUGACAGGCCAUUUGUUGGCACAUCAAUGAACAAAAUGCAUUGCACUUAAAAUUGAGUGCUCAGAGACAUGUGUGGAUGAACAAGGAGACCAUAGGAUAGGUUAUGAUCCAUAUUUGGGAAAUUUUAGACAUUAUCUAUGCAAAUAUUUACAUUUCAAAUAAUAAGUGUUUACCUAUAAUAUAUAAUUGUGUUAGCUUACUGAAGGAAGAUUAUGAUGUUGAGUAGAGCUAUAUUUGUGUUAUAUAUUUUAGCUGAUUUUAACAAACAUAAGCAGAAUGGGAAAUUGCUGUAGAUAAUCACCAAAUCUCAUGUAAAGGCCUAUUUUCAAAUUUCUUUAAAAUCCUACUUGAUACAACUGGAAAAGAACUGGAUUGGGAGCCAAAAGACAGGGCUGAACUUGGACAAGGCAUUUCACCUUCUUAAUGUCUGGUUCUCAUUGUACUUUUCCGCGUAUAAAACACCAGGCUAAAUGUCUAUAACAUCUAUCUGAAUUUAUCUUCGAAUUUCAUAUCCAUUUAUUUUCCCUGACAGGACUUCUGAUAGUCAAAUGGCUGAAAUGGCCAAACGAAGAGAGAAAGAGAAAAAUGUAAAAAGAAAAGAAAAUCAUGGACUUGGAGAAGAGACUUGUGGCUGCCUGAUGGGAGGGGGAGGGAGUGGGAGGGAUCGGGAGCUUGGGCUUAUCAGACACAACUUAGAAUAGAUUUACAAGGAGAUCCUGCUGAAAAGCAUUGAGAACUAUGUCUAGAUACUCAUGUUGCAACAGAAGAAAGGGUGGGGGAAAAACUGUAAUUGCAAUGUAUACAUGUAAGGAUAACCUGACCCCCUUGCUGUACAGUG
rnacentral:lncRNA from 1 species